GGUUGGGCAUCCUUGUCGCAGUGCGUGCCUGCCAUCCCUAGGUUUUGCAAGGUGGAUGCGGGGAGACCGGCUCUUCGCACAGCCCAGCAGGCACAGGAUAGGUACCGGCGCGGGGAAUUAAUUAUCUCCCCUGGGAGCUUAUGUUGGAGGGGGACGCCAGGUGUGGAGGCCUCGUUCAUCAGCUGCUGAGACUGCAGCAGAAUCGCCCUUUCUGUCUGCCUCCUGGGCGCUUUUUGUGCGGGAAGUCAGGUCCACGGUGGCCAGGGCCCUACAGGCAGGUGCUUACAGGAAAAGACGGAGAGCUCCUCCCUCCGUGAGCUCAGCGAAGAGAGAAAAAUCUGGGAUGUGUGCACCCUUUAAAUGCAUCGCAUUUCAGUUCUGCAAAUUCUAAGUGUAAAUUGGGCUAGAAUAUGAUUGUGAAUCAGACCAGACGUCAUGAUUAAUUUAUCACCGUGCUCCAGAUACAUCAGUUAAAAUAAUAAGAAUUUAAAGCAAUGGUUCCUCCUGCCUUUGUGUUUGUUCUAAGGAACAGAUCACUAGAGAAAUAAAGGAACUAAGAUUUCACUCUCUGCUUGUAUUAGGAGAGCAUGAACAGAA